AGCGGGAAGUAGUUUACUACUUUGCCGGCGAGCGGCGGACGGGUGAGUAAUGUCUGGGAAACUGCCUGAUGGAGGGGGAUAACUACUGGAAACGGUAGCUAAUACCGCAUAACGUCUUCGGACCAAAGUGGGGGACCUUCGGGCCUCACGCCAUCGGAUGUGCCCAGAUGGGAUUAGCUAGUAGGUGGGGUAAUGGCUCACCUAGGCGACGAUCCCUAGCUGGUCUGAGAGGAUGACCAGCCACACUGGAACUGAGACACGGUCCAGACUCCUACGGGAGGCAGCAGUGGGGAAUAUUGCACAAUGGGCGCAAGCCUGAUGCAGCCAUGCCGCGUGUGUGAAGAAGGCCUUCGGGUUGUAAGGCACUUUCAGCGAGGAGGAAGGCCAAUAACUUAAUACGUUGUUGGAUUGACGUUACUCGCAGAAGAAGCACCGGCUAACUCCGUGCCAGCAGCCGCGGUAAUACGGAGGGUGCAAGCGUUAAUCGGAAUUACUGGGCGUAAAGCGCACGCAGGCGGUUUGUUAAGUCAGAUGUGAAAUCCCCGCGCUUAACGUGGGAACUGCAUUUGAAACUGGCAAGCUAGAGUCUUGUAGAGGGGGGUAGAAUUCCAGGUGUAGCGGUGAAAUGCGUAGAGAUCUGGAGGAAUACCGGUGGCGAAGGCGGCCCCCUGGACAAAGACUGACGCUCAGGUGCGAAAGCGUGGGGAGCAAACA
rnacentral:rRNA from 1 species